AUUGAACGCUGGCGGCAGGCCUAACACAUGCAAGUCGAGCGGUAGAGAGAAGCUUGCUUCUCUUGAGAGCGGCGGACGGGUGAGUAAUGCCUAGGAAUCUGCCUAGUGGUGGGGGAUAACGUUCGGAAACGGACGCUAAUACCGCAUACGUCAUACGGGAGAAAGCGGGGGACCUUCGGGCCUCGCGCCAUUAGAUGAGCCUAGGUCGGAUUAGCUAGUUGGUGAGGUAAUGGCUCACCAAGGUUACGAUCCGUAACUGGUCUGAGAGGAUGAUCAGUCACACUGGAACUGAGACACGGUCCAGACUCCUACGGGAGGCAGCAGUGGGGAAUAUUGGACAAUGGGGGAAAGCCUGAUCCAGCCAUGCCGCGUGUGUGAAGAAGGUCUUCGGAUUGUAAAGCACUUUAAGUUGGGAGGAAGGGUAGUAACUUAAUACGUUGCUACUUUGACGUACCGACA
rnacentral:rRNA from 1 species